AAUCAUUUUGUGUUUGUUUCUCUCUCUCUCCCUCUCACGCUUCUUCUUCUCUCUCUCUCUCUCUCUCUCUUUCUGAAACAAAGAACAACGAGAUUCAAGCUUUUUCAAGCUCCGAUGUGCUUCCAUGGAGAUUGAAGGAAGAUGCAGUGGUCAUCUCUCACGCUUCUUCACUUUCCUCUCUCUCUCCCUCUCUGAAACAAAGAAAAACGAGAUUCAAGACCAAGGCUAGAUCCGAAGAAGCAUGUCUCUCGCCACCGACGCCGUAUUAGAAGAAGCAUGGCUCACGAUUCAAGCUAUUCAAGAACAGAACAUAACUAUGUUCUCUGUUUUUUUCUGUGUUUAAGAAACGAGAGGAAUAAGAAGAAGAAGAUAGCUUGAGAAGGACAGGCUUGGAAUCAUGGCGGAAGAAGGCGAUGGACAGACUUUGGAGGCUAGAGAAGAAAGAGAUAGGAAGAAGAAGAAGACGGCCUAGUGUUUAGGUUUUGGAAACGAGAAGGGGCAAAGGUGUAGUUUGAAAGAUUGUAGAUACGAUACAUCAUCCUUGUGUUCUGUUGUUUGGUUUGGAAAUAUGGUCACCUCGUCAACGGCAAAGGGAGUCUCUGCUUCUGAAGGUACCCCCAUGUUCGGUACCUGCAAUUUUAUAUCAGUAUUUGGUAAAUAAGAGAGUUAUCCGGUUAAAGA